rnacentral:misc_RNA from 1 species
AAAGUCGUAACAAGGUUUCCGUAGGUGAACCUGCGGAAGGAUCAUUAUUGAAUUAGCUUGGUUGGGUUGUUGCUGGCUUUUAGGAGCAUGUGCACAUCCACUCCAUUUUCAACCACCUGUGCACAUUUUGUAGGCUUGGAACUCUCGAGGACACUCGGUUUGAGAAUUGCUCUUAAAUGCAGCUUUUCUUGCAUUUCAAGUCUAUGUUUUUAUAUACUCCAUAUGAAUGUAAUAGAAUGUUUAGUAAGGGCCUUUUGUGCCUGUAAAACAAAAUACAACUUUCAACAACGGAUCUCUUGGCUCUC